CCAUUUUUCGGAAUCACCCCCCUGAUUCUGGCUUCGGACAUGAACCACCCACAAGUGGUCCGGAUACUACUUGAAGGAGGAGCUGAGGUCGACCAGCAGAACGUAGCAGGUUCCACCCCCCUCAUCUCGGCGGCACGUAAGAACCACGGGGAUAUUGUCAAGGUCCUACUCGACUACCAGGCGGAUGCAAACAGACAGACGCGGAAAUUCGGUUUGUUUUUUUGUUUUUAUUGUUUUGCUGUUUUUGAUGUUCUUUUUUUUCAUUUUUUCUUGCUCUCUCUCCUUUCUUUCU